AUGAAAGUAAUAACUAUGUGAAAGUGAAAAAAAGGUUCUAACUAAAUAUAAAAAUGAAUUGAAUGUGUAAUGACAAACGUAUAAUAACUAUAAGGUAGUUAACACUAAAGAUUAAACGGACUGAGCUAUCUAUGAAAACUUGAUAAAAAGAGAGCAUAUAAAUUUGUGGUUGGAACUAAUUUUGAAUUUGAUCAAGUGAUGACUUAAAUUCUCAGCAAAGAGAAAUUGACAUCCUUAAAUGAGGUAAUGUCAUUGGUUAAGGACAAGAGGAGCCAAAGGAAUCUACUGAUUAUUCCCUAGCCCAAAGACGUCAUAACUUUUGUAACAAAGUUACUAACAAUCCAACU
rnacentral:lncRNA from 1 species